UCGAAACCUGCAAAGCAGACCCGUGAACAUGUUAUUUCUCUCAGGGAGGACAACGUGGGCACAGCUAACCAUGUUGUCCCACGUUGAAGCCCCAUUCCGUCGAUGUGCACAACCGUGCCCGUCGUUCGGCUUAACGAACCCCGGCGCGGAAAGCGCCAAGGAAAACACAAAAACACUGCUUGCCUCUCGUAGCCCCCGUUCGCGGUGUGCACCUGAGGAUCGGGCGUGUGUCGAAUUUAAAA
rnacentral:misc_RNA from 5 species